UACGUAGGGUCCAAGCGUUAAUCGGAAUUACUGGGCGUAAAGCGUGAGUAGGCGGUUUCGCAAGUCCGAUGUGAAAUCCCCGGGCUUAACCUGGGAACUGCGUUGGAAACUACGAGACUAGAGUGCGGCAGAGGGGGGUGGAAUUCCAGGUGUAGCAGUGAAAUGCGUAGAGAUCUGGAGGAACACCGAUGGCGAAGGCAGCCCCCUGGGCUAGCACUGACGCUCAUACACGAAAGCGUGGGGAGCAAACAGG
rnacentral:rRNA from 1 species